CUUGUGGGUGUGGUUUUGGCC
rnacentral:siRNA from 1 species